CCUACGGGUGGCAGCAGUCGGGAAUAUUGCGCAAUGGAGGAAACUCUGACGCAGUGACGCCGCGUGCAGGAAGAAGGUUUUCGGAUUGUAAACUGCUUUAGACAGGGAAGAAAGAAGAAAGUACCUGUAGAUUGAGCUCCGGCUAACUACGCGCCAGCAGCCGCGGUAAUACGUAGGGGGCAAGCGGUAUUCGGAUUUAUUGGGUGUAAAGGGUGCGUAGACGGAGAAGCAAGUUAGUUGUGAAAUCCCUCGGCUUAACUGAGGAACUGCAACUAAAACUACUUCCCUUGAGUACUGGAGAGGAAAGUGGAAUUCCUAGUGUAGCGGUGAAAUGCGUAGAGAUCAGGAGGAACACCGGUGGCGAAGGCGACUUUCUGGACAGUAACUGACGUUGAGGUACGAAAGUGUGGGGAGCAAACAGGAUUAGAUACCCGUGUAGUC
rnacentral:rRNA from 1 species